AGGGAGGAAAAGUGACAAAAAAGAGCAAAACAUUAGUUGGAAGUAACAGCACUGGAAAUGUCAGGGUUACCCCAGCCACUGCCACGAGAACUCAGAGCCUCUUGGCCAAGAACAACGAGCAGACCCGAGCAAUCAAACCGAAACUCAGGUCUGUGGUCUCUGCUGGAGAUCUGCACUGUUCCAUGGCCGGCUCUGCUGCACACGUCACUGUCACCACAGCACAGGGACAGGCCCUCUCCUUUUCUGAAGAGACGCAGGAUGACAUUGACGUUGACCUGCUGGAUGACGUAGCAUUUUGCCAGUUUCGGAGGCUCACGAAUUUGAUGGACAAUCUGUUGAGGCGAAGGCGCUGCCAGCGAUAAAGAUCAACUGACCAGCACUAGUUCAACUGUUAAUGUAUUAUGAAAUGAGUCUAACAGUUUGUUUUUAAAUUUUAAUAAAGCUCAUCUUUUUUUUUAUUCUAAAUGAUUGUCAUUUAAUGAUCUAGUCAGUAGAAUGAGUAAAUGCCCUUCCCAAUUUCAAAAUGUAUCAAAUGCAUGGAUGCAGAGAAUAGAAUUUGAUUAACUUAAUUUGCAUUGCUAAGAUGUAGAUGGGGGUGUUAAAACAUGUGAGAGAAUUAAAGGCAUAGCAAAGUGGUGAAAAAGAUGUACUUUACUGGACAUGAUUAGGAUUUUUAUUGUGGGUAAUUGUGUAAAAAACUUGAGAUCUUGCCGUGUGUAUUUAAUGAAUAGGUAAAUAUUAGCCAUUACUUUGUCGCCUCUAGACUAGAGAAACAAAAGCAAAUUCAGAUGUUUAUUGUGAGGGGAAACAAGCUAAUUGUAAUAUUAAUUCCAGUAAGUUUAUGUAGAAAGCACCAGAUUGGGGGGCAAAUCAAAUGCGAUUUUAGCAAUCAUUACACAUUUAAAAAAAAAAAG